rnacentral:rRNA from 1 species
UUUCCCUCAGGAUAGCUGGCACUCGCUUGAGCGAGUUUCAUCUGGUAAAGCGAAUGAUUAGAGGCCUUGGGGCCGAAACGACCUCAACCUAUUCUCAAACUUUAAAUGGGUGAGAUCUCUGGCUUGCUUGAACAUUGAAGCCAUGAGAAUUUGAAAGCGAAUCAGAGUGCCAAGUGGGCCAAUUUUGGUAAGCAGAACUGGCGCUGUGGGA